AUAUAAGCAAUGAACAAGAGGAUUAAAAGAAGCUUGGAUUAGAGAGGAAUCGUCUGGUGAAAGAUUUUCGAUAGCUAUUUUAAUUGUAGCUUGUGAGCUGUUAUCUUGAAUAAAGUAGGGAUAACCGGAUUUCGAUUCGUUAACAAGGAUUUAAGUGGAGUUAAAAACUCAAUUUAGGUGGUACCACGGCAUUGUCGUCCUAUUA
rnacentral:ncRNA from 1 species